AGAUGAGAAGGAGCCAGCCAGACCAAGGGCUGGGGGAAGAGUGGUCCAGGCAGAGCGAAGAGCAAGUGCAGCAGCCCUGGGGUCUGCAUCCAAGAGGAGAGGAUGUGCCCCAUCGAAAGGGAACAGCUGCCACCCAGCUCCAGUCAACUGUUUCCAUGCAGGAAUGUGGGGCCAAUGCUGUAAGAUCUCCUGAUUUGUCUACAGAAACUGGAAAUCCAGAUUUUUUUGUGCGAUCUCCUCUUUAAAUGUUUGCAAAUGAUUUAAUAAAAAAUAUCGCUGAG
rnacentral:lncRNA from 1 species